rnacentral:rRNA from 1 species
CCUACGGGGGGCAGCAGUGAGGAAUAUUGGUCAAUGGACGCAAGUCUGAACCAGCCAUGCCGCGUGCAGGAAGACGGCCCUAUGAGUUGUAAACUGCUUUUGUACGAGGGUAAACGCAGAUACGCGUCUCUGUCUGUAAGUAUCGUACGAAUAAGGAUCGGCUAACUCCGUGCCAGCAGCCGCGGUAAUACGGAGGAUUCAAGCGUUAUCCGGAUUUAUUGGGUUUAAAGGGUGCGUAGGCGGUCGGUUAAGUUAGAGGUGAAUUCCCGAGGCUCAACUUCGGAAUUGCCUCUGAUACUGGUCGGCUAGAGAGUAGUAGCGGUAGGCGGAAUGUAUGGUGUAGCGGUGAAAUGCUUAGAUAUCACACAGAACACCGAUUGCGAAGGCAGCUCACGAAUCCGCGAUUGACGCUGAUGCACGAAAGCGUGGGUAUCAAACAGGAUUAGAUACCCUAGUAGUC